UACGUAGGGACCAAGCGUUGUCCGGAAUCAUUGGGCGUAAAGCGCGCGUAGGUGGCCAUUUAAGUCCGCUGUGAAAGUCAGAGGCUCAACCUUUGAAAGCCGGUGGAUACUGGAUGGCUAGAGUACGGAAGAGGCGAGUGGAAUUCCUGGUGUAGCGGUGGAAUGCGCAGAUAUCAGGAGGAACACCAAUAGCGAAGGCAGCUCGCUGGGACGUUACUGACACUAAGGCGCGAAAGUGUGGGGAGCGAACAGG
rnacentral:rRNA from 1 species